rnacentral:lncRNA from 1 species
ACUUCCGUCCGUGUCCCCCAAGAUGGCCGCGUGGAACGCGGAAGAGGUGCGGAGAGGAGGCGGCCGCCGGGCAGGAGCCUGAGCCCCCCGCGUACAGGACAUGGUGCAGAGUGAAGAGCACAGAUAAAGAACCUCCCACCAUUCCACUGCCUGUUCCACCUGCCCGGAGGACUUCAUGCAGCAGGACGCAGGCUGAUGCCCUCAGCACCCCCUGCCAUGGAUGGGGGGAAGAACUACCCACUGCACGAGCACCAGCAGCUGGGGCACAGGCUCCUCAGCACCCCCGGCCUCCCCCCCCAGCUUGCCAUGGAGACCUCCAUGCUGGCCGCCGAGUCGUUGAGUAGCUGCUACCCUGCCUCCUUCCCAGCCUCAUCCUUCCCCAGUGAAAACCAGUGAGUGCUGCUCUUUGUAUCGCUCUGCUCUUGCACACCCCGUGAUUCAACUGUUUCUUUACUGCUUUCCUUGUUUACUCUAUUUCACUGACUGAUGGGGAAAUAAUUGCAUCACCCCCUGAUCUUGUGGCAUUUCAUAAACUGCUACAUCUUGGAAAAA